GGGGGCGUAGCUCAGCGGUAGAGCUCAUGGUCUUGCAUGGAGAAGACCCCUGGUUCAAUUCCUAGCAUCCCCA